UUGAACCAAAUUCUAAUUCGGUUAUUUCACACGAGCAUCCUGCGAGAACGCCGGAUAUUGUUGUUGUUGUCAGGAGAAAUUGGGAGGGAGAAACUGACUGUUCAAGAAUCCGGAACGAAAAGAUUGCAGCAGGCCAGUUUGCAUGUGGCGUGCUAAUGUUUGUUGUCGGUAUACUGCAGUUCACUUCCAUGCCGGAUAAUUCAGACGAUUUCAAAUUUUAUUUGCUUUUACUUGGAGGAAAUAUUCUAUACGCAGUUGGAAUAGCGGCCUUUAUAAUUUCAAGAAGAAAACAAAGCAAAUGCAAGUUUGGAAUCCUAUUUUGCUUGAACGUAUUCUGUGUACUGCUUAUGACAGCAGUGGCAGUAUCUAGUCCGCUCAAUAUUAUUGCUUGUAAGCGAGUGUUGUGCCAACUGUCCAGUGCAAUUGCUAUCGUACUUGGUUUCAUUGGAGCCACAUUAUCAGCAUUUAAAUCUCAUAACCUCUGGAUAAAACUCCGAACAGAAGAGGCAUGUAUAAAUCUACUGUAAUAUAAUCGUCAUUAUCAACAAUUAUUAAAGGGUAUGGGGGUUGCGUUGUGCGUUACCCCCGUAAUAUUUUUUGUCAUUUGCUCAAUUUUGCUUUGAUUCUUUAAAGAGAUUUUUUGGCAGUAAAACGUGGUUAAAUGACGCCAAAUUUUAAAUAGAUCUAUCUUCUUAUAUUCUUUAUCAUAUAGUCUAAAAUGGAAACGUUUUCCCUAUAAGAUGAUAUUUUCUUUCAUUUUCCAAGGAUCUGAAAAGUGUGGUACCAAAAUCCAUAAAUUAUCUAACACCCCUCUUUCGUUGCUUAUAAAAUGUAUCCCUGAUUUAUUAAUAAUCACCAUCGGUCAUUAUCAUCAAUCCUGGGCUGCAAGUUUUCCCAAAGGGGGCCCAAGUUCUCCUACAGGGGUCACAAGCUCUCCUACAGGGGUGCAAGUUCUUU